rnacentral:lncRNA from 1 species
UUGCUGCAAGACUUGGGUCCGAGGUGUGCGGUCGGGGUCCAAGUCCUUUUGAUCUGAGAGUUCGACUUCAAUUCAAGGAUUAAAACUCUUUGAAGAACCUACAAAGUAAGUCCACUUUCAUCAGAGAUUCUUCAAUGAGGACCCUCUAAUGCUUAAAUCAGCCAAAGUUUGAGAAUAAUAGAGAGAGAGAAAGCAAGAGUGUGGGGUAAUUGCUUUAGAGUCC